rnacentral:rRNA from 1 species
GCCAGCAGCCGCGGUAAUACGUAGGUGGCAAGCGUUGUCCGGAAUUAUUGGGCGUAAAGCGCGCGCAGGCGGUCCUUUAAGUCUGAUGUGAAAGCCCACGGCUCAACCGUGGAGGGUCAUUGGAAACUGGGGGACUUGAGUGCAGGAGAGAAGAGUGGAAUUCCACGUGUAGCGGUGAAAUGCGUAGAGAUGUGGAGGAACACCAGUGGCGAAGGCGACUCUUUGGCCUGUAACUGACGCUGAGGCGCGAAAGCGUGGGGAGCAAAACAGGAUUAGAUACCCUGGUAGUCCACGCCGUAAACGAUGAGUGCUAAAUGUUAGAGGGUUUCCCCCCUUUAAUGCUUGCAUAAACGCAUUAAGCACUCCCCCUGGGGAGGACCGCCGCCAGGCUUAAAAUCCAAGGAAUUGACCGGGAAC